GCGUAACGCGUGGGAAUCUGCCCUUGGGUACGGAAUAACUCAGCGAAAGCUGUGCUAAUACCGUAUGAAGUCUUCGGACCAAAGAUUUAUCGCCCAGGGAUGAGCCCGCGUAGGAUUAGCUAGUUGGUGGGGUAAAGGCCUACCAAGGCGACGAUUCUUAGCUGGUCUGAGAGGAUGAUCAGCCACACUGGGACUGAGACACGGCCCAGACUCCUACGGGAGGCAGCGGUGGGGAAUAUUGGACAAUGGGCGAAAGCCUGAUCCAGCAAUGCCGCGUGAGUGAUGAAGGCCUUAGGGUUGUAA
rnacentral:rRNA from 1 species